rnacentral:tRNA from 1 species
GGUGUCGUGGUUUAGUUAGUUAUCACGUCAGUCUAACACACUGAAGGUCUCCGGUUCGAGUCUGGGCGACGCCA